AUGGAGUUCUGUGGAAGGCUGGCAGAGCAUUUGUCACCAUUCCCCUCCAAACUUGCAGAGGCUUGCUACAAGGCAGCAGUAGCGACUGAGCUCCUCCAAAAAGCAACACAGAAGGUUCAGGUUGCGUGGAGGUGUGUUGAGACCCAGCAGUGGCUGCUGUGUGAGGCCGAGAUGCUGCUGACGCCUGUGGGAAGUUAUUGACCACCUUUACCCAGCACAACCCUGCAUGCGUCAUCCUGACCCACUGCCUGCAUGGUGUCCCCAUGAGCCCUUCCUGAGAGCCAGAAGGGAUGGCCAAGGACAUGUUUUGGCCUGGGAAAACCUCCCGGGGUUGGAGCUGCCCCUUCUGAGUGGCCACCUCCAGCUCACUACAAUGAUGUCCACCUCUCUUAUCAUUAAUUGCUCUUCCUGACAUAAAAUAACUACAGAAUCUGGAAUUUUGGCUAAGGGUUAGGGUUAAAAAAAUAGAAAAAAAAUAUAAAAAAAGAAGAGGAAUAGUAAUUUAAAUGCAUGAGGUGCGUCUGGUUCUCUGCAGGCAUCCUGCAAGAUUAAUUUUCUUUUCCUCCUUACCUCCUACCUGAGGCACCCAUUGUCUACAGUGCAUGAUUCACUUGGGAAUGUAAUUUAUUUUUUUUUUUGAAACUGUCCUUCUUUGGUAUUUCUGUGUUUUUUUAUUUUGUUUCUUUUUUGUUUUCCUUUCCUUGGAACAUCCCAGUUGCAGGAAAUAUUAAUCACUUCCGAGUUUGUUCUGAUUUGGUCCAAAACUGAAAAUAAAAAUAAAAAGGCAAAU
rnacentral:lncRNA from 1 species